CAGUAGCCGCGGGAAUACGGGGGGGGCAAGUGUUAUUCGGAAUGACUGGGCGUAAAGGGCACGUAGGCGGUGAAAAGGGUGGAAAGUGAAAGUCGCCAAAACACUGGCGGGGUGCUUUCUUGACCAUUUCACUUGAGUGAGAUAGGGGAGAGUGGAAUUUCGUGUGGAGGGAUCAAAUCCUAAGAUAUACGAAGGAACGCCAACCGCGAAGGCAGCUCUCUGGGUCCCCACUGACGCUGGGGUGCGAAAGCAUGGGGAGCAAACAGGAUCAGAUACCCGAGUAGUCCCUGUCUCUUAUACA
rnacentral:rRNA from 1 species